ACUGGGCAUGGUGGUGCAUGCCUGUAGUCCCAGCUACUCAGGAGGCUGAGGCAGGAGGAUCGCUUGAGCCCAGGAGGCAGAGGCUGCAGUGAGCUGAGAUUGCACCACUGCACUCCAGCCUGGGCAACAUAGGGAGAUCCUGUCUCAA
rnacentral:sRNA from 1 species